AUUCCGUGAUGAGGGCACUUUCGUAAUAACUCUUUGAAUCUUUCCCAUGCCUUAUACAAUGACUCAUCAUCCAUUUGUUAGAAAGCAGUAAUUGGAAAGCAAUAAUCUCAUUUCUCAGCUU
rfam:Gossypium hirsutum cultivar TM-1 chromosome 9, whole genome shotgun sequence